CAGCAGCCGCGGUAAUACGAAGGGUGCAAGCGUUAAUCGGAAUUACUGGGCGUAAAGCGUGCGUAGGCGGUGAGUUAAGUCUGCUGUGAAAUCCCCGGGCUCAACCUGGGAAUGGCAGUGGAUACUGGCUCGCUAGAGUGUGUCAGAGGAUGGUGGAAUUCCCGGUGUAGCGGUGAAAUGCGUAGAGAUCGGGAGGAACAUCAGUGGCGAAGGCGGCCAUCUGGGACAACACUGACGCUGAGGCACGAAAGCGUGGGGAGCAAACAGGAUUAGAUACCCGGGUAGUCCCUGUCUCUUAUAC
rnacentral:rRNA from 1 species